GCUUGCUUUCUCGAGCGACUGGCGAACGGGUGAGUAACCCGUGAGGAACCUGCCUCAAAGAGGGGGACAACAGUUGGAAACGACUGCUAAUACCGCAUAAGCCCACGGGUCGGCAUCGACCAGAGGGAAAAGGAGUGAUCCGCUUUGAGAUGGCCUCGCGUCCGAUUAGCUAGUUGGUGAGGUAAUGGCCCACCAAGGCGACGAUCGGUAGCCGGACUGAGAGGUUGAACGGCCACAUUGGGACUGAGACACGGCCCAGACUCCUACGGGAGGCAGCAGUGGGGAAUAUUGCACAAUGGGGGAAACCCUGAUGCAGCGACGCCGCGUGGAGGAAGAAGGUCUUCGGAUUGUAAACUCCUGUUGUUGGGGAAGAUAAUGACGGUACCCAACAAGGAAGUGACGGCUAACUACGUGCCAGCAGCCGCGGUAAAACGUAGGUCACAAGCGUUGUCCGGAAUUACUGGGUGUAAAGGGAGCGCAGGCGGGAAGACAAGUUGGAAGUGAAAUCUAUGGGCUCAACCCAUAAACUGCUUUCAAAACUGUUUUUCUUGAGUAGUGCAGAGGUAGGCGGAAUUCCCGGUGUAGCGGUGGAAUGCGUAGAUAUCGGGAGGAACACCAGUGGCGAAGGCGGCCUACUGGGCACCAACUGACGCUGAGGCUCGAAAGUGUGGGUAGCAAACAGGAUUAGAUACCCUGGUAGUCCACACCGUAAACGAUGAUUACUAGGUGUUGGAGGAUUGACCCCUUCAGUGCCGCAGUUAACACAAUAAGUAAUCCACCUGGGGAGUACGACCGCAAGGUUGAAACUCAAAGGAAUUGACGGGGGCCCGCACAAGCAGUGGAGUAGGUGGUUUAAUUCGACGCAACGCGAAGAAACCUUACCAAGUCUUGACAUCCCUUUGAC
rnacentral:rRNA from 1 species